CCUACGGGAGGCAGCAGUGGGGAAUAUUGCGCAAUGGGCGAAAGCCUGACGCAGCGUGAGUGAAGAAGGGUUUCGGCUCGUAAAGCUCUGUUGGUAGUGAAGAAAGAUAGAGGUAGGAACUGGCCUUUAUUUGACGGUAAUUACUUAGAACGUCACGGCUAACUACGUGCCAGCAGCCGCGGUAAUACGUUUGUGGCAAGCGUUGUCCGGAUUUCUUGGGCGUAAAGCGAGUGCAGGCGGUUCAAGAAGUCUGAUGUGAAAGCCUUCGGCUCAACCGGAGAAUUGCAUCAGAAACUGUUGAACUUGAGUGCAGAAGAGGAGAGUGGAACUCCAUGUGUAGCGGUGGAAUGCGUAGAUAUAUGGAAGAACACCAGUGGCGAAGGCGGCUCUCUGGUCUGCAACUGACGCUGAGGCUCGAAAGCAUGGGUAGCGAACAGGAUUAGAUACCCGUGUAGUC
rnacentral:rRNA from 1 species